rnacentral:sRNA from 1 species
ACACUUUAGAAAAUUUGAUAUUCAAUGCCCAGGAAAAUGUUUUAUUUCUACAGGCUCUUCCCUCUCUCUAUUUCCAAUGCAAACAACAAUUCCCUUGCUAUACCCCCUUAAAAAGUCCUUAAUCAACUGGGAAAGUCAGAGAAAGAAAAAGCACUCUUAAAAUUUUUUCUGUUACUUUGAAGUAACUCCAAAGCAAGGAGUUACUAGAAAUUCCAAUGCAUAAUCUCAGAAAGAGGGAAAAGAUCUGAGAGUUUGGGCAUUUGGCAUAAGCAGUAACAACAAAAACAUUCCAGCAUAGUAUGAGACUUAAAAUAAAAGAACCUUUAUAAAACCUUAGACUGAGGCCAGCCAAAUAAUUAGCAAGGCAACCAGGUUUAGUAUAAAUCUUUCUUCAAGUGUAAAGGAGAAGUAGCUGGAAAAGGUUGAUGGUGCAUGUUGAUAAAAGAAUUACUCUGGCAGCUUUCAAACAACAUUUAGAGCCCUUUGUUGGAGUUUUGUCCUCUCACUUCAAGGUCUUUCGAGUGUAUGCCAGCAAUCAAGAGUUUGAGAGCGUCCGGCUGAAUGAGACACUUUCAUCAUUUUCUGAUGACAAUAAGAUUACAAUUAGACUGGGGAGAGCACUUAAAAAAGGAGAAUACAGAGUUAAAGUAUACCAGCUUUUGGUCAAUGAACAAGAGCCAUGCAAGUUUCUGCUAGAUGCUGUGUUUGCUAAAGGAAUGACUGUACGGCAAUCAAAAGAGGAAUUAAUUCCUCAGCUCAGGGAG